rnacentral:rRNA from 1 species
GACGAACGCUGGCGGCGUGCCUAAUACAUGCAAGUCGAACGCAGUGGGGACGGGUGAGUAACACGUGGGUAACCUCCCAUCAGAGGGGAUAACACUUGGAAACAGGUGCUAAACCGAUACUGAUGGAUGGACCCGCGGGGCAUUAGCUAGUUGGUGGGGUAACGGCCCACCAAGGCCACGAUGCCUAGGCGGUCUGAGAGGGUGACCGGCCACACUGGGACGGAGACACGGCCCAGACCCCUACGGGAGGCAGCAGUAGGGAAUCUUGCGCAAUGGGCGAAAGUCUGACCCAGCCACGCGGCGUGAGUGAAGAAGGUUUUCGGAUCGUAAAACACUGUUGUUAGAGAAGCGGUAUCUAACCAGAAAGCCACGGCUAACUACGUGCCAGCCGCCGCGGUAAUUC